rnacentral:rRNA from 1 species
CUGGUGCCAGCAGCCGCGGUAAUUCCAGCUCCAAUAGCGUAUAUUAAAGUUGUUGCAGUUAAAAGCUCGUAGUUGAAUUUCGGGGUUAGUAGGUUGGUCAUGCCUCUGGUAUGUACUGGUCUCACUGAUUCCUCCUUCCUUAUGAACCGUAAUGCCAUUAAUUUGGUGUUGCGAGGAAUUUGGACUGUUACUUUGAAAAAUUAGAGUGUUUAAAGCAAGCUAACGCUUGAAUACAUUAGCAUGGAAUAAUGAAAUAGGACGUUCGAUCUUAUUUUGUUGGUUUCUAGGAUUGACGUAAUGAUUAAUAGGGAUAGUUGGGGGCAUUAGUAUUCAAUUGUCAGAGGUGAAAUUCUUGGAUUUAUUGAAGACUAACUACUGCGAAAGCAUUUGCCAAGGAUGUUUUCAUUAAUCAAGAACGAAGGUUAGGGGAUCGAAGACGAUCAGAUACCGUCGUAGUCUUAACCAUAAACUAUGCCGACUAGGGAUCGGAUGAUGUUAAUUUUUUAAUGACUCAUUCGGCGCCUUACG